rnacentral:piRNA from 1 species
UGAAAGCCUGAAGAUCUGUCCUCUAC